rnacentral:rRNA from 1 species
CUUUCAACAAUGGAUCUCUUGGCUCUGGCAUCGAUGAAGAACGCAGCGAAAUGCGAUAAGUAAUGCGAAUUGCAGAAUUCAGCGAGUCAUCGAAUCUUUGAACGCACAUUGCGCCCGCCAGCACUCUGGCGGGCAUGCCUGUCCGAGCGUCAUCU